rnacentral:rRNA from 1 species
UGAGUACGAGCUGCUACGGCAGCGAAGUGGAUGAUGUCAAGCUUCCAAGAAAAGCCCUAUACCCGUUAAGGCAUGACGGCCUGUACCCGAAACCGACGCAGGUGGGGUGGUAGAGAAUACCGAGGGGCGCGAGAUAACUCUCUCUAAGGAACUCGGCAAAAUGGCCCCGUAACAUCGGGAGAAGGGGUGCCACCGCGAGGUGGUCGCAGUGAAGAGGCCCAGGCGACUGUUUACCAAAAACACAGGUCUCCGCUAAGUCGCAAGACGAUGUAUGGGGGCUGACGCCUGCCCAGUGCCGGAAGGUUAAGGAAGCCGGUCAGCGUAAGCGAAGCUGGCGACUGAAGCCCCGGUGAACGGCGGCCGUAACUAUAACGGUCCUAAGGUAGCGAAAUUCCUUGUCGGGUAAGUUCCGACCCGCACGAAAGGCGUAACGAUCUGGGCGCUGUCUCGGAGAGAGGCUCGGCGAAAUAGAAUUGUCUGUGAAGAUGCGGACUACGUGCACCCGGACAGAAAGACCCUAUGAAGCUUUACUGUAGCUUGGUAUUGUGCUCGGGCUCUGAAUGCGCAGGAUAGGUGGGAGGCUUUGAUCCAUUGCUUGUGGGUGAUGGUGAGCCACUGGUGAGAUACCACUCUUUCAGAGCUAGGGUUCUAACGGUCACCCGUUAUCCGGGGACCGGACAGUAUCAGGUGGGCAGUUUGACUGGGGUGUCGCCUCCUAAAAGGUAACGGAGGCGCGCAAAGGUUCCCUCAGGCUGGUUGGAAAUCAGCCGACGAGUGCAAAGGCAGAAGGGAGCUUGACUGUGAGACCAACAAGUCGAACAGGGACGAAAGUCGGCCUUAGUGAUCCGACGGUUCUGAGUGGAAGGGCCGUCGCUCAACGGAUAAAAGUUACUCUAAGGAUAACAGGCUGAUCACCCCCAAGAGUUCACAUCGACGGGGAGGUUUGGCACCUCGAUGUCGGCUCAUCGCAACCUGGGGCUGAAGUCGGUCCCAAGGGUUGGGCUGUUCGCCCAUUAAAGCGGUACGCGAGCUGGGUUCAGAACGUCGUGAGACAGUUCGGUCCAUAUCCGGUGCAUGCGCAGGAACAUUGAGAGGAUUUCUCCCUAGUACGAGAGGACCGGGAGGAACGCACCUCUGGUGUACCAGUUAUCGUGCCAACGGUAAACGCUGGGUAGCCAUGUGCGGAGCGGAUAACCGCUGAAAGCAUCUAAGUGGGAAGCCCACCUC